ensembl:lncRNA
UUCAUAAAUUGAUUUAUUUUUCAUUUACCAUGCACCAUUAUUUCAUUAAAUCUUUUGAUCAUUAUUGAAUGGUUAAGUUUAAAUAUGCAUCUUUGCAAAUAUAUCUUGAUUGUAGGUGAAGGUGGUUUGAUCCCAGUGAUGGGUUUCUUCUGCCAGCGUUGUGAGGAGUUCUUUGGCGAUCUGAACAGCGCAGAGAGACAUGUAGAAAGUCACAGCCGCAAGGACAGGAACAAGACAACUGGGUCACAGGAGCAGCACAGGGAUGCUAAAAGACAUGAAGACCAGAAUCACACAUCAUCUCACAGACGAGAGAGCCCACACAGUAGGUCCUCAAGGGUCUACCAGGACCACAAGGAACGCAGUCCUGACAGAAAGCGCACCAGAGACGAAAGAAUCCCUCAUUCUACAGAUAUCAAACUCAAAAACGAGCCAGAGGGCAAAGACAGUAAAGAUGAGAGUAAAGACAAAGAGAAAAAGGAUAAAACUGAUGAUGACGAUGAUGCCGAAUCAACAAAGAGUGAGAAAAAGAAAAAGAAGAAGGAGAAGAAAAUGAAGAAAAAAGAAAAGAAGAAGAAAAAGGACAAGGAGAAGAAAAAAGGAGAUAAGGAUUCACCUUAGUGUUAAAGAUCUUUCUUCUAAAAGCUUCAGCUGUGUGUAUGAACUUUUGAGCUACAUUUCAAUCAGCAAUCAUUGGUGAGUCUUCUCUGGUUGAAGGCCUCAGAACGCAUAGACAUGAUUGUUAAUAUGUUAAUGCAGCCUGUAGGUGACACUCCAACCGCAUACAGUGUAGUACAGGGACACUUCACUUAUAUAGAGACACUUUCAGUCUGUUCAAUUUAAAUGUGAACAACCAGAGAAGAUGUCAAACUAAAACUAAGGGCAGAACUUUCCGUAAAUGUGCAGACAUUCUGGUUGUAUAUCCAGCCCAACCUGAAGUUUGUCCCAUUUGUCAUUGUCCUAUGAACAGUGUUCCACAAACCAAAUCCGCUGCAACGUUCUAGCUCUGAAAAAUGUAACUAUUCAUUCUUGGCUUGAAAAAUUUGUGUGCAGGAAUAAAAGGUUUUUGGAUUAGAGGUCGGUGGUCA